ACGAACGCUGGCGGCAUGCCUAUCACAUGCAAGUCGAACGAGACCUUCGGGUCUAGUGGCGCACGGGUGCGUAACGCGUGGGAAUCUGCCCUUGGGUUCGGAAUAACAGUUGGAAACGACUGCUAAUACCGGAUGAUGACGUAAGUCCAAAGAUUUAUCGCCCAGGGAUGAGCCCGCGUAGGAUUAGCUAGUUGGUGGGGUAAAGGCCUACCAAGGCGACGAUCCUUAGCUGGUCUGAGAGGAUGAUCAGCCACACUGGGACUGAGACACGGCCCAGACUCCUACGGGAGGCAGCAGUGGGGAAUAUUGGACAAUGGGCGAAAGCCUGAUCCAGCAAUGCCGCGUGAGUGAUGAAGGCCUUAGGGUUGUAAAGCUCUUUUACCCGGGAUGAUAAUGACAGUACCGGGAGAAUAAGCCCCGGCUAACUCCGUG
rnacentral:rRNA from 1 species